ACCUGGAUAGCUCAGUUGGUUGGAGUGUGGUGCUGAUAAUGCCAAGGUUGCAGGUUCAAUCCCUGUAUGGGACA